rnacentral:rRNA from 1 species
ACGGGGGGAGCAAGCGUUGUUCGGAUUUACUGGGCGUAAAGGGCGCGUAGGCGGCCUCCGCAAGUCAGUUGUGAAAUCUCCGAGCUUAACUCGGAAAGGUCAACUGAUACUGCGGGGCUAGAGUGCGGAAGGGGCAACUGGAAUUCUUGGUGUAGCGGUGAAAUGCGUAGAUAUUGGGAGGAACACCAGUGGCGAAGGCGGCUUUUUGGUCUGUAACUGACGCUGAGGCGCGAAAGCGUGGGGAGCAAACAGGA